rnacentral:misc_RNA from 1 species
GAUGAAAGAACGCAGCGAAAUGCGAUAAGUAAUGUGAAUUGCAGAAUUCAGUGAAUCAUCGAAUCUUUGAACGCACAUUGCGCCCCUUGGUAUUCCGAGGGGCAUGCCUGUUCGAGCGUCAUUAUAACCCCUCAAGCUCAGCUUGGUGUUGGGGCCUGCUGCACUGGCAGCCCUUAAAAUCAGUGGCGGCGCCAUCUGGCUCUAAGCGUAGUAAUUCUUCUCGCUAUGGAGUCCUGGUGGAUGCUUGCCAUCAACCCCCAAUUUUUCUAUGGUUGACCUCGGAUCAGGUAGGGAUACCCGCUGAACUUAAGCAUAUCAAUAAGCGGAGGA